GUUUGAUAAAAGCACAUGGUAUGUUUUGUAAUUUGUGUUUUCAAGUUUAUUCGGUUUCUCUGUGAUCUAGGCAUAAAAAACUUAGAAAUCUCACGCAUCAUCUGUACACCCACUGAAAAAGACAACAUGCCCACUGUAUUUAAGCUGUCCUAAAGUGCCAAAAGGAAAGAGAGUUCAUCCCCUCCAGAACAGCAGGUCACCCAACAAAUGGAUCUCCUUGUGAGAUGGGAGCUGUUUUGUGGCCUUGUUCAUCUAUGAAGGAAAGCAAAUUACCAAGAAGCAGCUUCAAGUUGACUAGAGGAUCGAUGCAACACCCAUUGCCUGUUAAUGUUAGACACUUCUUCAGAUAAGGACUAAGGCCUGCUGCUAUCAGUUCUUCUUCAAUGGCAAGGUACAGAGGCCCAUGGAGGUCUGACAGCAAACCAGGAAAGAGUACUCGCACUACAUCGUGCCACAUCAUGAUAGUUUCAUUUCAUGCCAGAGGCGAUUUUAAACCCAUCGCAAAUAGAAGAGCUAGUCUCUCUCAGCAUUCAUCAGCACAAAAUGAAUCGAAAGAUCUGUUCUGGAAGGCAGUGAUGAGUUCUUUAGGCAAGUGCUCAGCUGGGUCUCACGUACUUUCACUUGGGAGUAGUUUUGCCAUUGGAUGAAGUACACUGCUCUGCCUCCUUGAACUCAUUUUGCUAAAAUAUGUUGACUUUCAUAAACACCCAUAACAGUAGGUUUUACCUUUGGUCGGUGUUUCAAAUUAAAGCCACUAUGGCAGACAUCAUUCAAUAAUGUUGCAUAAAGGCCUGGCUGAUGUCUCGCACACUUCAACAUGGUGUUGAAAAUAAGUUUUACCAACUGAUUGGAUUGAACGAAACUGUACUAUUUACAUGUUUUGAUUAAUCAAAAUGGAUUCAAAUUUGAAUAAUUUCGUAACUGUUCCCUUGGUCAUCAACCUGUUCAAGGCAGCCGUUUGUUAGUUAGUUUGCUUGUUUUUUUCUUCUGUUUGGUUGGACUGCGUUAA